AGCUAAUAACAUAUGAGUGCACCA
rnacentral:siRNA from 1 species